GCCAUUGAGACAUGCAAGCGAUAAGGAAUAGGUCAGAAAGGCACAGAAACGCCACUGAUCGGCCAACAACGAUAACAAUUUGUACUGCCUUUGUCAUGCACGGAGCGGCAGAAUCACAUCUCCAGCCUCGCUGAGGCGGGCUGGAGGGAUCACACGAAGAAAAGUGAAAAAAGGAAGACUUGCAUUUGUAUAGCGCCUUUUGCGGGCUGCCCCGAAGCACGUUACAUAUCGUCGCUGACUUUUGAAGUAAAAGAUCUCCACUCACUCCGAGUGUGGCAAACAACUUAAAGGCGGAAACAGGACUCUCCGUCACCAUGAGUGCUAAAAUUCAAUCAUGCUCAAAAUUUAAUCGAAUCACAACAAAUCAGCAAAUCUGAGGAUCACAAAGCCACCAAUAUCAGCACUACAGGUGUGGAUUUGGUUGCUGGACGGCUGGUUGUUGGUAUACAAUUGAUAAUCCGUCCUGAAGAAGAAGUUUUGUUCUCCCAUUGUCAAAGCCAUUGAAACAAGAGCUUUUCCAAAUCCUCUUGAAGUCUUUUUGCGUCCUCUUCAUGAUACACGCAUUCCAAUCUAGGUUUGUGUGAUCUGCAAAACUAUCAAGGCCUUUCCAGGAUGAAGAGUGAGAGUUCUCUAACUGUAGCAGAUGUAGAGAUCACUGCAGCUAGACUGCAUGACAAGCUGGAUAAGCAACUCACCCUGCAGAACUGCUGAAAAUAAAGGCAGAUGGCGCACUUCUUCAGACCUGAAAAAGAAUGAGCAACUACCCAGCACAGAGCAGUGAGGAGAAUGCUGACCCAGAGCCUGAACAAGAUAUUACUGCAAUGCUAACAACAUUAGAAACUGCUGACUGCAUCUUUUCACCUGUCUGGCUUGUCUGCAGACUUAACAUACUACAGAGCUCAUUGAGAACACCCAAUUUCAGGCACUAAUGCAGAUUGUCGUCAAGAAAUAAAGUUAGUACAAGUACAAAAGAAAGUGAUUUUAUAUUGCAAGAAAAUUUGAUAAAAGAAUGUGUUGCAAUGGCAUGUUAAUUUUUCACAUUAUUGGAAAUACAGUACAAUUUUAAAUACAAUUCUAUGUUAUAGGUGCAUUUCAAAUGUUCAAAAUGUCAUUUUUAAAUAUUGCAAUGCAUUAAUAUCUUAAAGUAAGACUCACUUGUCUGACAUCUUUUUUGUUCUUGUGUGUGGUCAUCCAUCCGCACUGAACCUUGUGGUAUUCCGCUGGUCCUGGUCCUUUCCUGUUCCCAGAAAUAAAUGCAGCUUCAAUGUGUUUAAUAUUUUUUGCUUUUGCUGUUGCUGAAUGAAAAUGAAUGUUUUGUACCAUCUGAAGGCUUCCUUAUACGCAAUCAUUCCACAUUGUACAAUGAGAAGGAUGCAGGGCCACACUGGGCACUGAGACAGAAAGGGAUAGAAGAUGGGAUGAGGUUAGGGAUGUAUGUCUUUGUUUUUAAACAGCAAUGGA